rnacentral:rRNA from 1 species
GACGAACGCUGGCGGCGUGCUUAACACAUGCAAGUCGAGCGGUAAGGCCCUUUCGGGGGUACACGAGCGGCGAACGGGUGAGUAACACGUGGGUGACCUGCCCUUAGCUCUGGGAUAAGCCUGGGAAACUGGGUCUAAUACCGGAUAUGACUCCAUGACGCAUGUUGUGGGGUGGAAAGCCUUGUGCGGCUAGGGAUGGGCCCGCGGCCUAUCAGCUUGUUGGUGGGGUGAUGGCCUACCAAGGCGACGACGGGUAGCCGGCCUGAGAGGGCGACCGGCCACACUGGGACUGAGACACGGCCCAGACUCCUACGGGAGGCAGCAGUGGGGAAUCUUGCGCAAUGGGCGAAAGCCUGACGCAGCGACGCCGCGUGAGGGAUG